GAGUAUUCUAGCACUUAGUAUCAGCAUGAAAUAGACUUUGUGCCCACUCUUUUAAUCUGUUUGUUUACAUAAUUAUAGAAAAGAUAGAAUUGAUUCAUACAUAGGAAUGAGCUAGUACCGUGAAGCUUAGUGCUUACUGUAAUAUUUGCAUAACGUCUAUAUAACAGCCACAAUAUAUAAUAUAUAUAUAUAUAUUAAUAUAUAUAUAAUAUAUAUAUAUAUAUAUAUAUAUAUAUAUAUAUAUUCAGUCGUGUACGUGUGCAUUUCUAUAAAACUAUGUACUAGUUGCUGUGCAAAUAUACCUGCAAGUUAAUCGGCAACUUAAAUAGGGAACAAGGUCAGUAGGGUCGCAGACAUUGGAGUUUUCCACUUGAAGUAAGUUAGAGAUGCAAUGCAAAGUUGGAAUAUAAUCUUGUGCUAAAAAUGUAGACACCUCUGCAUAUGGUUUUUCUGUUCAGCGGAAUUUUUGGGCUACGUUCGAUGUAUCAUUU
rnacentral:lncRNA from 1 species